ACAAGAACAAUCUAGAUUGCUGCAACCCAUUCUACCUCCUUUCUUCUCUCACAUAGGUCUUCUGUCAAAAGCAAAAGACGAAUUGUUAAAAAACUAAAUGGGAGAAGAUAUAAAAAUGGUGAGGUUAGCUUGCUGGAUAAGCAAAUGCCAAACCUUUGGAAGAAACAGCCAGAACCAUGGGGGAGAAGACAAACAUUUGGCUGCCUCCUUUCCUGAGAGCAGCUUGAGAGAGAGAUCCCAGAUGGCUGGCUCCUACAACUUUUGGGAGGUGGAGAGCAAGUCUGGGAAUUAUUGCAGUUUGAUGCCAACCCACAUAUACCUUUGCUUUGUAUGGGUCAGAAAAGAGUGGGUUCUGUAGGGCAACAACUGAGUCUCCUCACAUAUACUAAAUCAAAUCCUACCAUAUGAUUUCUCAUUCUAAGUCUUUGCUUGUAUGUACUGUACCCUCUGGAAUAAUUACAAUGGGUUCUUCUGUGUUAAUGACUUUAUUUCUAUUUGGAAUAUGUACUGUGGUUAUUCCUCAC
rnacentral:lncRNA from 11 species